rnacentral:tRNA from 1 species
CACCAGCUCAAAUCAUUAUGGGCUUAUCGUCAGGCUCAUAACCUGAAGGUCGUAGGUUCAAAUCCUACCCCCGCAACCA